CGCGGAGGUUUCUUCACAACGGAUCGUCCGGCACGUACCUGCCGGUGAAGGAGUUUGAUU
rfam:Branchiibius sp. NY16-3462-2 contig_22, whole genome shotgun sequence.